AAGACUAUACACUCAGGGAUCAUUUCUAUAGUUCCGUACUAGAGAAGUUUCUCUGACUGUGUAGAGCACCAGAAACCACGAGGAGAAGGUGCAGCGUUCUCUCCUGAGCGUGAAGCUGGCCCUGGGCGCUGCUCUGUGCAAGUGCCCUUUGCCAUUGAUGAUCGUUCUUCUCUCCCCUGGGGGAGUAAGAGGGAGAGAAUGCAGUCUGAGUGGG